CCACCAACAACAACAACAACAACAACAAAGCCUUUUCCCACUAAGUGGGGUCGGCUAUAUGAAUCCUAGAACGCCAUUGCGCUCGGUUUUGUGUCAUGUCCUCCGUUAGAUCCAAGUACUCUAAGUCUUUUCUUAGAGUCUCUUCCAAAGUUUUCCUAGGUCUUCCUCUACCCCUUCGGCCCUGAACCUCUGUCCCGUAGUCACAUCUUCGAACCGGAGCGUCAGUCGGCCUUCUUUGCCCAUGUCCAAAUCACCGAAACCGAUUUUCUCUCAUCUUUCCUUCAAUUUCGGCUACUCCUACUUUACCUCGGAUAUCCUCAUGCCUAAUCUUAUCGUUUCUCGUGUGCCCACACAUCCCACGAAGCAUCCUCAUCUCCGCUACACCCAUUUUGUGUACGUGUUGAUGCUUCACCGUCCAACAUUCUGUGCCAUACAACAUCAUUGGCCUUAUUGUCGUCCUAUGAAAUUUUCCCUUGAGCUUCAGUGGCCUACGACGGUCACAUAACACGCCGGAUGCACUCUUACACUUCAUCCAUCCAGCUCGUAUUCUAUGGUUGAGAUCUCCAUCUAAUUCUCCGUUCUCUUGCAAGAUAGAUCCUAGGCAGCAAAAACGGUCGCUUUUUGUGAUCUUCGCUAGAUUGCUCCGGUCAUUAGUGUGGAUAAGUAUAUAAAUGAAUAGAGAUAGGAAAGCAAACACAAGAUGUACGUGGUUCACCCCAGAUUGGCUACGUCCACGGAAUAUAGAAGAGUUCUCAUUAAUUGUGAAGAGUUUACACAAGUACAUAGGUUCAAGCUCUCCUUUAGUGAGUACAAGUGAAUGAUUUAGUACAAAUGACAUUAGGAAAUAUUGUGAGAGAAUGAUCUCGUAAUCACGAAACUUCUAAGUAUCGGAGUGUGGUAUCGUCUUGACUUGCCUUAUCUGUCUCAUAGGUAGAUGUGGCAUCUUCUCUGGAAGUACUCUUCCUCCAUCCAGGGGUGGUAUCUUUAACUGGUGGAGAUGCACAAGGUAAUGUAUCAAUUUCACUUGAAGCUUACUUGUAGUUUCAGGCUUGGUCAAGCGCGAUACAAACCAUGUAGUAGGAGUCCCCCAAGUCGCCGAGCUAGGGGAUCUGCUGAAAGAGGUGACAGACAAGGUAAGCAAUCAGAGCUCCGGCUGAUUGUUCACCUUCUCCCCAUCUUGCAGCAGCAUGAAGGAUAAAGAGAAGAAAAAUGAGAAGAGAUGAUAUGGGAUACUUUUGCUUUUGAAGAAGUAACUUUCCACAGGCUUAUUCUUGAACUGAGCUGGAGGGUUUUCUGGUUUCCUCCAGAGCCGACUGAAGAAUUUGAGGGUCAAAACAAGUCCAUCAAAUCUAGAGUACGUUCGACCCUGCUGAUAUGGGAUACUUUUGCUUUUGACAGAGUAAUGGAUGUAUCGGCACGUGUGCUGUUACGCUUGUCUCCACAUGCUUCCUUGUAUCCUUCGCACUUGCCCUAUCUGUUCCUCAAGCAGAUGCGGUAUCUUCCUUGGAAACAUAAGAUGUUGAAGAUGAGUACUCGAGAGCAAUGCCAGGUAAGUAAUCAGGUAAGGGGUUCCAGGCAGUCAGUUCCUGGCUGGAAGCUUGAUGCCAAGUGCUGACUGAUUGCUCUCUUUCUCCUUGUCUUGCAGGUAAAAACAAGGCCAAAGGAAAAGACAGGGAAAAAGCAUGAUAUGGGAUACUCUUGCUUUUAACCCUGAUGAUAUGAGAUAUUCUUGCUCUAGUAUAGCUUGUUUGCAGAGGUAUUAUCGGGGGGAAAGAAAGCUGAAUAUUUCGAAAGGCUUCGUGGGGAGUGCCCUCUCAGAUAUGAGGAAGGGUUGAGCAUUUUUGCAGGUCUGCCUGUCCGUUGGGGAUGAAGGUCGACAUAUAUAGGAGUCUCCCUAACAAGUAGUAAUGUUAUUCCUUUACCCUGCUUGGUCAUAGCACAGUAGUGGGAGCUGCCAGCUUCACAUGUUUUAACUCUGUCAGAGCACUUUGAAAAAGUGGUCUGUGGUAUCUGGCUCUCGAGAAGUCUUCGACAGAAUGCCCAUAAUUUCCGCAAAGCUGAGUGUGCGUGUGACAGGUGCUGACAAGGCUAGAAAAGUAGGUGCCUCUUCGAUUUCUGAGAUCGGCCCUCGUGGUCUCUAAACAGCCCAGCUUUUGAGAAAGCGAGCGUCUCUUCGAUUGAUUCGGAGAACGAUGCAUCUUCGAUUUUUAAGAAAGCAAUCAUGCUGGGGGUCUGGCUCUCGAGAUUCGGGGAGCAGUGUCACUUCGAUUUUUGAGAAAGUAAUCAUGUUGGGAGCAGCCUCUCCAUAAAAUGGGGGUAAGGCUAGCCGACAUUCACCUCUCCUAGACCCUGCGUAAAGCGGGAGCCUUGUGCACUGGGUACAACCUUUUAAUCAUGUUGGGAGUCUGGCUCUCGAGAUUCGGAGGGCGGUGCCUCUUCGAUUUUGGAGCAAGCAAUCUUGUUGGGAGUGUUUUCUCGAAUGUGAGUAAAGGUUGGGCAUGUUUGCUAGUCUACCUUGCCACGAAGCAUAGAGGUUGACACACAGAGAUUUUCCAAUUAUCCAGCAAUGGUACUGUUCCUUUACCCUCUCUUCGAUUUUUGAGAAAAGUAGUCAUGUUGGGAGUCUAGCUCUCGAGAUUCGGAGGACGGUGCCUCUUCGAUUUUGGAGCAAGCAAUCUUAUUGGUAGUGUUUUCUCGAGUGUGAGUAAAGGUUGGGCAUGUUUGCUAGUCUACCUUGCCACGAAGCACAGAGGUUGACACACAGGGACUUUCCAAUUAUCCAGCAGUGGUACUGUUCCUUUACCCUUGUGGGUAAUAAUAUGGUAGCUAGACCUUCAAAAUUUAUGGGUCUAAACUUUGUUAGUGCUGUUUCUUUGCUAUUCUUUUACCUUUCUUGGUCAGAGCGAUGUAGUGGGAGCUGCAAGCUUUACGUGCUCAAUUUUGGCAGAGAACUUUGGCAAAGUUAUCUGUGAUACCCAUGAGCUAUUGUUGCGUGUGGGAAGUGGGUGAUUGAACAGUAAGAUUCAUGUGUUUUCUACUUCCUCAGAAGUCUUCGACAGAAUGCCCAUAAUUUCCGCAAAGCUGAGUGUGCGUGUGACAGGUGCUGACAAGGCUGGAAAAGUAGGUGCCUCUUCGAUUUCUGAGAUCGGCCCUCGUGGUCUCUGAGGAGCCCAGCUUUUGAGAAAGCGAGCGCCUCUUCGAUUUCUGAGAUUGGCCUUCGUGGUCUUUGAGCAACCUAACUUUUGAGAAAGCAAACGCCUCUUCGAUUUCUGAGAUCAACCUUCGUGGUCUCUAAGCAGCCCAGCUUUUGAGAAAGCAAACGCCUCUUCGAUUUCUGAGCAGGUGCCUCUUCGAUUUCUGAAGCUCCGUCGAGUGCAGAUUUUUAUAGGGGCUGGCAUUAAGUUCCGAAGCCCACUUGAAUCUCCACCAGUAGAAGCUCCAUUCUUGCCCUUCUAAGAUCUUGAUUUGUCCAACCUCUUCUCUCUUCAACACCUUUGAAAAUGUCUGGCCCCUCCGACCGUCGUUUUGACUUGAACCUUGUUGAAGAGGCAACCCCGCCUUCUCCAGACAACAUAUGGCGCCCAUCCUUCGUCUCCCCUACUGGUCCUCUUACCGUUGGGGAUUCCGUGAUGAAGAAUGAUAUGACUGCUGCGGUGGUGGCCAGGAACCUUCUCACGCCCAAAGAUAACAGACUACUUUCCAAACGGUCUGAUGAGUUAGCUGUUAAGGAUUCGCUGGCUCUCAGUGUUCAGUGUGCAGGUUCUGUGUCUAAUAUGGCCCAACGCCUAUUUGCUCGAACCCGCCAAGUUGAAUCAUUGGCGGCUGAGGUGAUGAGUCUCAAACAGGAGAUUAGAGGGCUCAAGCAUGAGAAUAAACAGUUGCACCGGUUCGCACAUGACUAUGCUACAAACAUGAAGAGGAAGCUUGACCAAAUGAAGGAAACUGAUGGUCAGGUUUUACUUGAUCAUCAGAGAUUUGUGGGUUUGUUCCAAAGGCAUUUAUUGCCUUCGUCUUCUGGGGCUGUACCGCGUAAUGAAGCUCCAAAUGAUCAACCUCUGAUGCCUCCUCCUUCUAGGGUUCUGUCCAGUACUGAGGCUCCGAAAGAUCCCCCUCCGGUGCCUUUUCUUUCUGGGGCUCUACCGACUGCUGAGACUUCUCCUAAGCAACCCUUGUGAAGGCUCCCUCUUGUUUGUUUAUUACUCAUGUAUAUGUACAUAUUUGUAGUUUAUCGGGGAUAUCAAUAAAUAAGUUUUCCUUCAUUUCAAUGUAUUGUGUUAAAUUACACCAAAACCUUCUUCGCUAAGUUCUUUGAAUUUUCUUUUGUUGAAGCUUGUAUGUUGAAGCUUUCUGAGUGGAGCAUGUAGGUUGGGGUAGUGUUCCCUUAAUUUCCCGAGUGAGGAAAACUUCUCGGUUGGAGACUUGGAAAAUCCAAGUCACUGAGUGGGAUCGGCUAUAUGAAUCUUAGAACGCCAUUGUGCUCGGUCCUGUGUCAUGUCCUUCGUUAGAUCCAAGUACUUUAAGUCUUUUCUUAGAGUCUCUUCCAAAGUUUUCCUAGGUCUUCCUCUACCCCUUCGGCCCUGAACUUCUGUCCCAUAGUCGCAUCUUCUAAUCGGAGCGUCAGUAGGCCUU
rnacentral:lncRNA from 1 species